UACGUAGGCAGCGAGCGUUGUUCGGAGUUACUGGGCGUAAAGAGUGCGUAGGCGGUUUCGUAAGUUUGGUGUGAAAUCUCCCGGCUUAACUGGGAGGGUGCGCCGAAAACUGCGGGGCUUGAGAGUGGGAGAGGUAAGCGGAAUUCCUGGUGUAGCGGUGAAAUGCGUAGAUAUCAGGAGGAACACCAGCGGCGAAGGCGGGUUGCUGGGCUGACACUGACGCUGAUGCGCGAAAGCUAGGGGAGCGAACGGG
rnacentral:rRNA from 1 species